rnacentral:rRNA from 1 species
AACGAACGCUGGCGGCAAGCCUAAUACAUGCAAGUCGAACGAGAAAGUUCUUCGGAACGAGUAGAGUGGCGCACGGGUGAGUAACACGUAGAUAAUCUGCCCUUUGGUGGGGAACAACAGAGAGAAAUCUCUGCUAAUACCGCAUAAGCAGGUAACUGGAAAGAGGCUUCGGUCUCGCCAAGGGAUGAGUCUGCGGGACAUUAGCUUGAUGGUGGGGUAACGGCCUACCAUGGCGACGAUGUCUAGCUGGUCUGAGAGGAUGAUCAGCCACACUGGAACUGAGACACGGUCCAG